rnacentral:rRNA from 1 species
GACGGAGGAUGCAAGUGUUAUCCGGAAUCACUGGGCGUAAAGCGUCUGUAGGUGGUUUAAUAAGUCAACUGUUAAAUCUUGAGGCUCAACCUCAAAAUCGCAGUCGAAACUAUUAGGCUAGAGUAUAGUAGGGGUAAAGGGAAUUUCCAGUGGAGCGGUGAAAUGCGUAGAGAUUGGAAAGAACACCGAUGGCGAAGGCACUUUACUGGGCUAUUACUAACACUCAGAGACGAAAGCUAGGGUAGCAAACAGG